UACGAAGGGGGCUAGCGUUGCUCGGAAUUACUGGGCGUAAAGGGCGCGUAGGCGGAUAGUUUAGUCAGAGGUGAAAGCCCAGGGCUCAACCCUGGAAUUGCCUUUGAUACUGGCUAUCUUGAGUUCGGGAGAGGUGAGUGGAACUCCGAGUGUAGAGGUGAAAUUCGUAGAUAUCAGGAAGAACACCCGUGGCGAAGGCGGCUCUCUGGGACGGUACUGACGCUGAGACGCGAAAGCGUGGGGAGCGAACAGG
rnacentral:rRNA from 1 species